rnacentral:rRNA from 1 species
UCGAGGGAGGAGCCUUCGGGCUUCGACCGGCGUACGGGUGCGUAACGCGUAUACAAUCUGCCUUUCACAUAGGGAUAGCCCGAAGAAAUUUGGAUUAAUACCUAAUGGUAUAUAGGAGUGGCAUCACAUUUAUAUUAAAGCUGAGGCGGUGAAAGAUGAGUAUGCGUUCUAUUAGCUAGUUGGAGAGGUAACGGCUCCCCAAGGCGACGAUAGAUAGGGGUUCUGAGAGGGAUAUCCCCCACACUGGUACUGAGAUACGGACCAGACUCCUACGGGAGGCAGCAGUGAGGAAUAUUGGACAAUGGUCGGAAGACUGAUCCAGCCAUGCCGCGUGCAGGAAGACGGCCUUAUGGGUUGUAAACUGCUUUUGCAGGGGAAGAAUAAGGACUACGCGUAGUUUGAUGACGGUACUCUGCGAAUAAGCAUCGGCUAACUCCGUGCCAGCAGCCGCGGUAAUACGGAGGAUGCGAGCGCUAUCCGGAAUCAUUGGGUUUAAAGGGUCCGUAGGCGGGCUAAUAAGUCAGAGGUGAAAGCGCUCAGCUCAACUGAGCAACUGCCUUUGAAACUGUUAGUCUUGAAUGGUUGUGAAGUAGUCGGAAUGUGUAGUGUAGCGGUGAAAUGCUUAGAUAUUACACAGAACACCGAUAGCGAAGGCAUAUUACUAACAAUUAAUUGACGCUGAUGGACGAAAGCGUGGGGAGCGAACAGGAUU